UUGAACGCUGGCGGCAGGCCUACCACCUGCAAGUCGAAUGGUAACAGGAAACAGCUUGCUGUUUCGCUGACGAGUGGCGGACGGGUGAGUAAUGUCUGGGAAACUGCCUGAUGGAGGGGGAUAACUACUGGAAACGGUAGCUAAUACCGCAUAACGUCGCAAGACCAAAGAGGGGGACCUUCGGGCCUCUUGCCAUCAGAUGUGCCCAGAUGGGAUUAGCUAGUAGGUGGGGUAACGGCUCACCUAGGCGACGAUCCCUAGCUGGUCUGAGAGGAUGACCAGCCACACUGGAACUGAGACACGGUCCAGACUCCUACGGGAGGCAGCAGUGGGGAAUAUUGCACAAUGGGCGCAAGCCUGAUGCAGCCAUGCCGCGUGUAUGAAGAAGGCCUUCGGGUUGUAAAGUACUUUCAGCGGGGAGGAAGGGAGUAAAGUUAAUACCUUUGCUCAUUGACGUUACCCGCAGAAGAAGCACCGGCUAACUCCGUG
rnacentral:rRNA from 1 species